rnacentral:ncRNA from 1 species
AAAUAUAAGAUGAAUGAGAUUCGUAUAUCCUCGACAAUAUGGGUUGAGGGUUUCUACAAGGAGCCGUAAAUUCCUGUCUACGAAUGGGGCAUUGCUAUAC